GAUGUUGGGUUAAGUCCCGCAACGAGCGCAACCCCUAUACUAUGUUGCCAGCAUUUCGGAUGGGAACUCAUAGUAGACUGCCGCGGACAACGCGGAGGAAGGCGGGGAUGACGUCAAGUCAUCAUGCCCCUUACGUCUUGGGCUACACACGUACUACAAUGGGAUGAACAGAGGGAAGCGAAAUCGCGAGGUGGAGCGGAUCCCUAAAAGCAUCUCUCAGUUCGGAUUGUAGGCUGAAACUCGCCUACAUGAAGUCGGAAUCGCUAGUAAUCGCAGGUCAGCAUACUGCGGUGAAUACGUUCCCGGGCCUUGUACACACCGCCCGUCACACCACGAAAGUCAUUCACACCCGAAGCCGGCUAAGGGCCUAUGGUACCGACCGUCUAGGGUGGGGGCGAUGAUUGGGGUGAAGUCGUAACAAGGUAGCCGUAUCGGAAGGUGCG
rnacentral:rRNA from 1 species